ensembl:lncRNA
GUGAAGACAGUAGUAGGAGAAGAGGAGGAGAUGGGGAGGUGGAGACAGUAGGUGAAGAGGAUGAGAUGGGGAGGUGGAGACGGUAGGUGAAGAGAAUGAGAUGGGGAGGUGGAGACAAUAGGUGAAGAGGAUGAGAUGGGGAGGUGGCGACAGUAGAAGAAGAGGAGGAUUGAGAGAAAGAUGACAAAGUGAGAAAAGAGAAGUAUGAGAGGGACUGAGAGAAAGCGAGAGCUGAUGGGCGUAAUGGAGGGGUGGGGGGGAGUGACUGAGAGGGCCUGUCGCCCGGUCACUGGCCCCACGCCCAUCACUUUGCAGUGAUCAGUCUCCCAGUCCGUCAUCUGCCGCUUGCCAGCUGUCAGGGGGCCUGCUCUGGGCACGGCCACUGAUGUGAAACCGCAGCCAUGUUUAAGA